rnacentral:rRNA from 1 species
ACGGGUGAGUAAUGUCUGGGAAACUGCCUGAUGGAGGGGGAUAACUACUGGAAACGGUAGCUAAUACCGCAUAACGUCGCAAGACCAAAGAGGGGGACCUUCGGGCCUCUUGCCAUCAGAUGUGCCCAGAUGGGAUUAGCUAGUAGGUGGGGUAACGGCUCACCUAGGCGACGAUCCCUAGCUGGUCUGAGAGGAUGACCAGCCACACUGGAACUGAGACACGGUCCAGACUCCUACGGGAGGCAGCAGUGGGGAAUAUUGCACAAUGGGCGCAAGCCUGAUGCAGCCAUGCCGCGUGUAUGAAGAAGGCCUUCGGGUUGUAAAGUACUUUCAGCGGGGAGGAAGGCGAUGCGGUUAAUAACCGCGUCGAUUGACGUUACCCGCAGAAGAAGCACCGGCUAACUCCGUGCCAGCAGCCGCGGUAAUACGGAGGGUGCAAGCGUUAAUCGGAAUUACUGGGCGUAAAGCGCACGCAGGCGGUCUGUCAAGUCGGAUGUGAAAUCCCCGGGCUCAACCUGGGAACUGCAUCCGAAACUGGCAGGCUUGAGUCUCGUAGAGGGGGGUAGAAUUCCAGGUGUA